rnacentral:lncRNA from 1 species
UGAAGAUUCAUAGCCCUGCCCAGCCUGAAACCCCAUCAAAAGAGUGUCAACUUAAUCUGGCUCAAGAUUCACACGAGGUUUACAGGAUCCUCAGCAGGCACCAAACCCUCCAAGAUUGAAGAGUGACUCAUGGACAUGCCCUCAAGGAGCUCACCAGUCCUGGGGGCAGAAGAAGAAACCCAGGCUUAGAAGAAGAACACUUCUGUCAGAGGGAGCAGCAGGAAGGUGAUGGUGCCAUGACAGAAGAAACAGUGAGAACAACAAAAGAGACAGGGCCUGGGAAACAGGAGGCAGACAUUUCAAACAACUUGAUCAGCAGGGUGGUCUGAGCGUACCUUCUUAGACGAAGACCUGGACUUGGAGGAUCC